AUGAAAUCUGGAGAUAUUACUAGAUUGUGGAAAGACACCAUUCUGGGGGAACCCCCUUUGCAAGAUCGAUUCCCAGCCUUAUUUGGGAUUUGUAAUUAUCAAGAGAUUACAAUAGCUGGAUUUAAGAGUUUUGUGGGCAAUGAUUUCUUUAGAAGACAAUUACAUCCUCCUCUAGUAGAUCAAUGGAAAAAACUGGGAGAGGUGGUUAGAUCCUGGCCAGGGUCUAUAGAACCUGACCAGGUUUGUUGGGCCCUCGGAAAUAAAAAGAAAAAUUUCACUACUAAAUCAGUUUAUGUUUACCUGGAGAGGCAGUUGGUAGGGUGUGAUUACAGGUGGAUCUGGAGAGCGAAGAUACCCCUGAAAAUUCAGAUUUUCCUUUGGCAAUUGUUUCAAGAUGCCAUUUUGACUAGAGAGGUUAUGAAAAAAAGGAACUGGCCUGGGAACCCUAGAUGUUCAUUUUGUAGGAGCAUUGAAACAUCUCAGCACCUAUUCUUUACCUGUCCAGUGGCUCGGGUUGCCUAG
rnacentral:rRNA from 1 species